rfam:Sclerotinia sclerotiorum 1980 TF-70 mitochondrion, complete genome.
GGGUUAAUAUUCUAAUUGGUAAGAACCUUCUUUGUCAUAGAAGUGUAUAUCGGAUCGAGACCGGUUUAACCCG